GCAACUCCUAUAAACUUAAUGCUCAUUUCACUAGACUUAAAUGUAUAAAAGUCUUUUUAAAAAUACAAGGAAGGGGUAAAUGCACCGGGGCUUGCCUUUGUUGCAGAGACGGAGGUCUAAAUCCCUCUAUUAAACCCCAGUUAGAUGGCUCCCAUCACUUGAUGAGCAGGCACUGAAGCAGACUCCUCUUCAGAAACGACUUCUUGAAUUUUAUCAUCUUCUUCUGGGAAUUUCUACAUGUAAAGAUAUGAACAUAAAUGCUUAUGCUGAUGCAACUUGAAAAGAAAAUACUAAAAAGCAUCACAAGACUUACACCUCGCUAAAGGUGCACACAAAAACUAACAAAACCUUAAGAGAGCUAAAUACUCUAAUAUCACAACUCAAUUCACCAACCAAACUAGAAAACCUUGCCUCCAUAACCAACCAAGUACUUCAUUUAUGCCUUAAGCAAGGAUCCAACCUGCAUGAACUACAAGUUAUAGUGUCCAAGAAUCAGCCACAAUUCAUUGAACCUGCUUUCAGUUCUCUGAAAGCAUCUUCCAUUGCUCCAUUCCUCUCCCCUCUGUUCAAUGUCUUUUAUCUCAUAAACUCACAUGACAAGAGACCCCACUUACUUAACCAAAUCUAUUCCCUAAGUAUUGCUCUUCCACUUUGGUAUAACACUCCAAGACUGAAAAUACACAUUGCAAAUUCAGUUUUUAGGCAGCUGAAUGAAAUUCAGUCUCUGCAACUGAAAGUCCAUUUUUGGGCAGUAUUUACACCACUUUGUGUGUGGGAUCAAUCCCAACUCACCUAAAGGAUGUUGUUCUCUAACACAUGUUCUUCAAACUUGCUGUAGAAACUUUGGUUCAAAACCACCUAGAACAGGCACUACACAGCUCCAAAACUGCACUAAAAUUACUGAUUUCAGACUUUCAGUUCUGAAUAGACUAAGUCACCAACCACCUGACAGUCAAACUUUUGGCCACUUUUACUCCCAAAUUUAUGUGGAACCAGGUCCAUCUCACUUUAGCAAACUUGUUCACUUUACUAUGGUCUACAACUUUGCUAUGGAACCCUUAAUCCAAAACCCCAUGAAUCAGUCACAAUGAAUUCCAAACUAGGCAUCCUGCUGCAAUUCAGUUCUCAGAACUGAAUAAAAAUUCAGUUGUGUCCAUCCUGACAGACCAAAUUUAACCAACCUUUUCUCCAAUUUUUACACAGCAACAGACCAAACUCACAUUACCAAAGUUAUUCCUUAGAUAUAGCUCUAAUACUUUGGUGUAGUACCCCUAGGUUGAAAACAUUCAGAACAAUUUUUAUGAAGCACCAAAGUGGAGCUCAACACACUAAAACCUAGUUUCAGCCUUAUGCACUAAGUCUGGGAUCCAGAAACCUGACAGCCUAUGUUUGAGCAAAUUUCACACCUAGUUCCAGGCAACCAAUAGUGGUAGAGUUCAAGCAGUAAAUGGUGUGAGCUUCACUGACCUGUGAGGAACAAGGAACGGGCACAACACGGCCGAGACAAUCUCCACGAACCCUGGCCAUGGUGAGGUUGAAGGAUUGCUGUUGUGGUCACCAGACACAUGAGUUGGCUGUGAUGAACAAGGGCAGAUCAAUCUAGUGGCUGAGGAGGGGAGCUAAAACUGUCGUGGACACAGGAACUACAACGCACACGCAACUACUUUGGCUAGAGGUUGAGGGUAGGGGAGGAGAACUUCACUAAAUUCAGCCCCAAGGCACUGAAUAUAGGGGCAGGUGUCCCUGCACAUGGCAACCAUGCUGUGGGGAGUGUUUCCCAGUGCGCCAGCACAACAGGGGCUUACAAACGUGGCUCUCAAGUAUCAAUUUCACACUGGUUCAUCUGCACAGUUGAGACACCGAACCUGGUCCAAUAGCACAGGUACAACACAAUUAUCUAAUUAUGUCCAGUUCUGAAGACAGUAACAAACAGAUAGGGAUUUCCCUUGUGGAUAGGCUCAAUGGUGAAAACUGAUAUUUUUCUGUAGAGGGGGUGACUGAAUCUCGAGCUCCAUAUUGUCCACCCCAAGUCUAUCCCAGUUUGUGCACAUAAGUGGAGGACAGCAGGGAGAGAAGAUAUUUGUUGCACUCACAACCGAUCCAUACUGCAGUCACUGCACCUGGUCUGGUUCACAGCACCAGUCAGAGACACUGAAUUUGGUCCCUUCCCCAAAGCCAAAAUAUCCAUUUUGUCUUCUACUGCAAACAAAAGAAACGCAGCUGGGAACAUCACUUGUGGCUAAGCACAAAGUGGUCCAAUACUUGAUAUUUCUGCUGGGAUAAGGUUACUAGAUCCUGUUUUAUUUUUCUUUGUCCAGGGCAAUAGAUAAUUGUGCACCUGUGAGCAGGCACAAAUUAAUCCAAAACUAGAUACUUUCAGUUGGGAGUGAGGCUUCUAGAUAUCAGGCAUCCAUUCCAUACACAUCUCAACUUAUAAACACAAACAAGGGCGAGCAGCAGGGGAUGAUCUUGUUCAGUUUCCAAACCAAACUCUAAACGUGACUGAAACAGCCCUACUGCACCAUCUGCACCUCCCUAUUGAAGCCUUGUUAUUGCACAAAUCACCAUGGCAACAAACCCACCCCUUUCAACCAAAAGAAUUCUCCAACUACAGCUCUAUUAGUUUGUUGCAGCAGUCCAAGACCAAAAAUGAAAGGAUCAAAAGUUACAGUGCCCCAAAGUACAGCCAAUGUCACUGAAAAUUCAGUUUCAGAAAUCUGAAACAGCAUCACACCGAGUCUGACAGAGGGUUUUGUCACUCCUUUUUCUCCAAAUUAUACACAGUAACAAGUCAACCCUUUGCAUAAAAAUUGUUCCCCUUUAUAUGGACUUUUACUUUACUACAGAACUCUUAACCAAAAUCUCCAUAGAUUAAUUAUCAUAGAGCUCCAAACUGGGCAACUUGCUACCAUUCAGGGUUCAGAACUGAAUUAAAAUUCAGUUAUUAACCAACCUGACAAUCCAAUCUUUGAGCAACUAUUUCUGCACUUUUUGUAUGGGAUCAGGUUCACCACUCUAUAAGAAAGUUGUUCCACUUAUAUGGUCUUCACUUAUUCUACAAACACCACAGCACAAAACCUUAUAGAAUAGCCACAAAAGGGCUCCAAACUUGGCACCAUACAGAAAUUUUCAGAUUUCAGAACUGAACCAAAUGCAGUUAACGUACUAUCUGUCAGUCCAACCUUGAGCAAGCUUUCUCUCCAAUUUUUGUGUAGGAUCAAACCAAAGUUACUUAAGGAGACUUAUUCACCAUCAUAUGGUCUUUAAUUUCUCUAUAUAUUCUACAGCCCAACACCCUAUGUAUUAGGCACAAAUGAGUUUCAAAAUCAGCCAAAACACUGCAAUUUCAGACUUAGUGUACUGUUCUGAAUCUGAAAAUGCAAAGAUCUGUUAACCCCUCUUUGGACUACCUUUUCUGCUAGUAGCAUAUAGUUUUAGGGCUAUCACACUUAAUAAGGAUUGUUCUCCAACAGUUACUCUAAAAGUUUUAUACAGUGAGCCAUAGCCAAAUACUCCUGGAUUCCAAACUACAAAGGUCCAAAGUUUGACCAAAUUACUGAAAUUCAGAAUCUGAAUUUCACUGAGUCUGAAAUCUACAAAAUCUGACAGCUUUACUUUAGACCGGUUUUAUCCCAAGUUCCAAAUCGUUUUAGAGCUAGAUGACUUAACCAAACUUAUACUCCUCAUGUAUCUCUAUAACUUUGUUAUAAUGAUCAUCUUAAAACUGUUUAUAGAUCAAAUGUUAUGAAGGCCUAAAAAUAGCUAGUUGAUAUUAUUUUCAGCAAACUUCAAAUCUGAUUCAAAACUGAAUUAAACUUUUUAGUCCAACUUUUCCUCUAAAACUUGGAAUUCUCCAUACAUGAAAGUUGUUCAACUUCCCAAAAUCUACAACUUUGAUAUAUGGACCACUAGCAAAUUCUCUCUAGAUUUAAAACUCCACUUUUGGGCUAGUUGAGGGUUUCAAAUGUGACUUCUCAUCUAGUGAUUUAUCAACUCAAUCCAUACUCCUAAAAGACGAGUGACUCCUUAAUCUCAAAUCCAACUCUAGUAUAUGAAGCUCAUGUUCAAAGUGUCCCUAGUUUAGGAGUUGUUUUGUUUAUCCACAGUUCCAAGCAAGGUUUUCAAAUCUCACUUAAGGUUUUUAAGGUUAAUCCAGUUUCGCAAUUAAUUCUUCCACCUUUGAAAGCAAAGUUGUUCUAGGUCCUAAGUCUUACCUUUAAUACAUUAAAUUCCAAGCCAACUUAUUACUUGCUCAAGAGACGACUUCACUUCCGAUCUCUUAAGCAAAGUUCUUAAUCUGAGCCCUAUACUCUUAUACACAACACCACAUUCAUUGAAUUUUUUUUGACCUAGUGAAUGCAUUCUAGGUGCAUCAAGCAGUUAAUGCAAGUGCAGAUGAUGACAUGACAAGGUUUUAAUUAUCGUAACACCAGGGGUGUUACAGCCUUCCCCCCUAAAAAGAAAUCUCGUCCCAAGAUUUAAAACUCUAGGCUAGAUAAUGGAAAAGGAAAUGUGUCACUGGCUUAUUUCCCCAUUACUCCUACAAAGCAGGGGUGUGCCCCUAUUGGUUCAAACCAAAGACAAACUACACAAAACCUAGGACUUACAAGAACCUAGGAACUCAAGCACAUGUUCUUCCAAAUACUCCUUCGAUUCCCAUGUGGCUUCAUCUUUCGUGUGUAUUGGUUCCACUUUAUCUCGUAAAACUCGAUAACUCAUCUUUGAGUGUCCUGAUCCUUUUGAUCUAACACCUUUAUGGGAUAUUGCGAGGAGGUUAAACCUGGUUUAUGGCUAACAUCUGAAAUCUCAAUAACAUAUUUGGGGACUCGAAGACAUUUCUUUAACGGAGACACGUGGAACAUGUUGGGCACUAUUGGAAGAUCUUCUGACAAUUGUUCCUUAUAAGCCACAGGUUCACCAAAACCUUUGUUUCGAAGCUUGGUAGUCUUCAUGAACAGGAAAUGGUAGCAUAGAAAGGCAAAGACAGAUAGCAGGAAUAGGGUGGACGAAACAUGUACUAAUACUGCUACAUAGGGGGCUUAAUUUAAAAUUGUAUGUCAUGAUGCAUGCUCGACCGAUUCGUCCUCACAAUUCUUGCCAACAUAUAGUGGCGUUCAUGCUCUAUGGCGGUGGCAUACCUACACUCCGUCAUUGAAUACUAGUCGCACUUUUCUAGGGUUUAGUUAGUGUACCUGCAGAAAAUUGCAUUAUAGUUGUGGGUUAGUGGUUAGCAUCCUAAACUAAGCCACCUUAUAGUCCUUAACUUAACCAUAUACUAUUUGCACUUCGACUAUCAGGAUUUGCUCAUAUUCUUAAAUUUUUCCAAAAUAGUUUGGACUCAAAAUCCUUUUGAAAUAUAUCAAAGGAUUACUUUAAUAUCCAUGAUAAUGGGGGAUCGCUCCGAUACCAAUCUGUGGCAGCCCUCCCAAGUUAUCGGGCCCACUUGCACCAAUUCUUGCCUUGAUGGCCUCAGAUGGCUAUGCACGUGUACCAGGUAACUUAACAAGGCUAUCACGAGUUCAACAACUUGAACUCACCAUCCCAAGGAUCUCCCACCAUACAUGCAUAUUACAGUAAUCACAUUCGAUACACACACUUCGGAGAUAAAGAGCGGAAGACUUUACAAACAUUCUUUACCUUUUCAAAACUCAAGUUUUACAUGUUUUGAAAGAAUAAUAUUUAUUACAAGUACUGAUAUACUCAAAGUGCAUAACUUAUUACAAAAGCAGGAAGGUAGAAACCCUCCAAAGCUUACACAUAAACCUAGCUAGUCCUCCUCCAGAACUAGAAACGCUCUCCAGCCUCAGGAACAUCUAGAGUACUCCUCAUCACCUACAACAACAUGGGUUCGAAAACCCUGAGUACGGAGUGUACUUUCGCAAGUCUUACCCGACUAAGGAAAAAUGACUCUCAAGGAUAUGCUGGUUAAGUAGGAAUCAAGGAAAAGGCUUUAGCAAGAAUCAACUUAGAUACUUUUGCAGAAAUAGCUUACUAAAGUGAGUCCUUACUUUCAAUAUUUUAAUGCCAUAUUAAAUAUUAAUAGACUCUGGUAGCAUCUAGUCUAAUUUCACCAUCUCAUCAAACAACAUCAUUUUUAUUCAUAAUGUUUACAUCCUGACUUAGGUUGCAAGGCAGCGAUCAAGUCUCCACUCUCCGGGGAUAUAAUGGCGAUCCGAAUCGAUUUACUCAGCUGAGGAUCUCUAACCACACGACAUAUGUAGCGCUUAACCCUUGCAUAUGUCUACCGUUCCCACGGAUCCUCCACUGCAUGAACAGGUCCGCGCCACCCGAGAGAGCACCACCCCUUUUAGGCGGUCCUUUGCCAGGAGGGUACGUGCCACUCUCGCCAUCUCUCCACUCCCAGUGCGCGAUUGUCUUUUCAUGUAUGGAAUAGCCAGGUUCAAGCUUACCCUGUCCCAUAUCCAGGGCAUGUGGCCAGUUAAGAUAGUCCUUGAUCAUACAGGCCUACAUACGCAUCCAAUCCUUAAUUAACCUAGGUAGAACAUCACUUGUUCCUAGCCCAAGUCUCGAUUUAAGUACUUCCAUCCUUAGGAUUGUUUGUGUUCCUUAGGAUGAAAAGAGCAUUAUAGGGAACUUUGCAGUAAGAUCCCACCAUGCUCCCAAUGAAAAUAUUCUUGCAGGUAGAAGCCGUCUUUCCUCAGGAUAACCCCUGAGCUAGGCCUCAAUGCAAAAGACAACCUCUAUCCACAAGAUCUGAGCAGGGCUAAGCAUUUUUGUAUAUCAUAUUUUGAUACUUCACCAGAAGUAUCUAUAAAGGUAUGGAUAUCAAGGUAGGCAAUGCAUCCAAUAAUUUCCAAGCAACUCCUAUAAACUUAAUGCUCAUUUCACUAGACUUAAAUGUAUAAAAGUCUUUUUAAAAAUACAAGGAAGGGGUAAAUGCACCGGGGCUUGCCUUUGUUGCAGAGACGGAGGUCUAAAUCCCUCUAUUAAACCCCAGUUAGAUGGCUCCCAUCACUUGAUGAGCAGGCACUGAAGCAGACUCCUCUUCAGAAACGACUUCUUGAAUUU
rnacentral:lncRNA from 1 species